rnacentral:tRNA from 1 species
ACAAAAUGUAGCUUAACGCAAAGCACCUCGCUUACACCGAAGACAUGUCUAUUUGACCCAGACCAUUUUGA